AUACAUAGCCCCAGCCACCAGUCUUUUCCACAGAGCUACACGGCAAAAAUAUCAAGAACGUAGGGUGAAGCUGCAAAGCAAGAGCAGCAUAUCGAUCAGUCCGAGGCAAAGAAUCAUCUUUGCUUGCACCUGUGUUCGACUCAAGAAAUUUUGCACCUGCAGUGUAACUUUCCAGGAUCUUCUGAACUGCUGGAACCAUGGAGGCCGUCGAAUCAAGCGGCCCGCAGGUCAGCACCGAUCGCCGGGCAUCCAAGAAGGAUCGCCGGAUUUUCUGGGCCUGCGUUUUCAUCCUCGUGAACAACUGCUUCCAGUACACCGCCUUCUUCGGCGUGUCGACGAACCUGGUGAACUACCUCAAGGACCGGCUGCACGAGGGCAGCAAGGCCGCCGCGAACGGCGUCACCAACUGGCAGGGCACGAGCUCCAUCACGCCGCUGGUCGCCGCCUUCCUCGCCGACGCCUUCCUCGGCAGAUACUGGACCAUCGCGCUCUUCAUGCUCAUCUCCGUCGUGGCCUUCGUGGUGUUGACGGUGAGCGCGGCCGUGGCGCUGCAGAGCGCGGCGUUCUACGCGGGGCUGUACCUUCUGGCGAUCGGGGGCGCUCUGCAGCCGGUGCUGUCGUCGUUCGGGGCGGACCAGUUCGACGAGACCGACGAGGAAGAGCGCGGCCAGCAGAGCUCCUUCUUCAACUGGUUCUACCUCUCCAUCAACGUGGGCUCGCUCGUCGGCGGCACCGUGCUGGUGUGGGUGCAGUCCAGCGUCAGCUGGGGGCUCGGGUACGGCAUCCCGGCGCUGUUCAGCGUGCUGGCCGUCGCGGGGUUCCUGGCCGGCACCGCCGCGUACCGGCGGCACCAGCCACCGGGCGGAAGCCCGCUCACCAGGGUCGCGCAGGUGAUCGUCGCGGCGGUCAGGAAGUACCGCGUCGAGGCGCCGGCCGACGCGUCGACUCUGCACGAACGCGAGGCCGACGACGGCAUGUCCGCGAUACAGGGGAGCCGCCGGCUCGCGCACACCGAUCAGUUUAGGUUCCUGGACAAGGCGGCGGUGGAAACUGCGGGCGACAAGGCGCGGCCGAGCCCGUGGCGGCUGUGCACGGUGACGCAGGUGGAGGAGCUCAAGUGCGUGCUCCGGCUGCUGCCGGUGUGGGCGAGCGGCAUCAUCUUCGCGGCGGCGUACACGCAGAUGACCACCACCUUCAUCAUCCAGGGCGACACACUGGACCCCUACGUCGGCGGCUUCCGCGUCCCCGCCGCCGUGCUCUCCGUCUUCGACACCCUCAGCAUCAUGCUCUGGGUGCCGCUCUACGACCGCCUCAUCGUCCCGCUCGCGCGCCGCGCCACGGGACACGAGCGCGGGUUCACGCAGCUGGCGCGCAUGGGCGUGGGCCUCGUCGUGCUCACCGUCGCCAUGCUCGCGGCCGGCACGCUCGAGGUCGCGCGGCGGCGGGUCAUCGCGCGGCACGGCAUGUAUGACUCCAACACGGGCGUGGACGGGAGCUACCUGCCGCUGUCCAUCUUCUGGCAGGUGCCGCAGUACGCGGUGGUGGGCGCGUCGGAGGUGUUCACGUUCAUCGGGCAGAUGGAGUUCUUCUACGACCAGGCGCCUGACGCGAUGCGGAGCCUCUGCUCGGGGCUGUCCAUGACGUCGUUCGCGCUGGGCAACUACGUGAGCUCGGCGCUCGUGACCGUGGUGGCGCGCGCGACGGCGCGGGGCGGGCGGGACGGGUGGAUCCCCGACGACAUCAACCGCGGACACCUUGACGACUUCUUCUGGCUGCUCGCCAUGCUCUGCAUCGGCAACUUCGGCGUCUACCUGCUCAUCGCGCGGUGGUACACCUACAAGAAGACCGUAGAUUGAAGGUCACCUAGGGUGCAAUGGUCUGCCUAGGCUAGGCUCAAUCGCUCCGUGGGCCGCGCAGGCUACAUCGGGUUAGGCGUCGGUGCUCAUGGGCUGAGGCAUCGUGGGCAGCGGCUGGCGUUUUGGAGCAAGGGGGCUGACGUCAGCUAAUAUAGGAAAAAUGUUCAAAGAUCAGGCUAUGGGAGGUGGAUGGUUACCUUGCUUUUCAUCAGGGAUGGAAUAUUUUUGUUUCAUACCAUUUGAUCAAGUGGGGUGAGUUUCUGUUGUUCGAGUACACUGCCAAUUCAAUAUUUUCUGUGCGGGUUCUUAGUAAA